AUGCGUUCAUCGGUUGGACGCAACGGUCAGAUUUGCUCCGCGUGGACGGACAAUAGUCCUAUGCCCAAUUCAAACGCACAAAAUCCAGACACAUCGAUAUCUCCUUCCAAAUCUUGUUGUGCAGGCCGUUCGAGAGGGAGAGAUGGCGGAUCCCAAUGGGAAAGAUGGUCGUGUCGUCCAAGCCUGCGCUGCUGCGGGUGCUUCAGGGCGCUCUCCGCUGGCGCGGCAUGCCCAAUGCCGGAGAUGAUGUGUACGCUAGCAUCCACCUUCCGUCGGCCGCGCCCCAUGCAUGCUCACAGACUGCAGGGACGUCCGAUGCGGACGAUGCCUGACUAUCUGCAAGCUGAGAAUUAUUGUACUCCUUCCGUUUCAUAUUACUUGUCGCUGAUUUAA
rnacentral:rRNA from 1 species